UGACUUUCGUAAUGGGGAGAGAGAGAAAGGAUCUCCUCAGGACCUCAGGUUGGCCUAUCAGUGGUCAUUCUUUCCUGGAGGGGCGCAACAGAC